GACGAACGCUGGCGGCGUGCUUAACACAUGCAAGUCGAACGGAAAGGCCCCUUUUUGGUUACUCGAGUGGCUAACGAGUGAGUAACACGUGAGUAACCUGCCCUUGACUUCCUGAUAACUUCAGUAAACUAGGGCUAAUACCUGAUAGGAAUCCGUUCUGCAUGGUGGGGGGGGGAAAGCUUCGGCGGGUUGGGAUGGACUCGCGGCUUAUCAGCUUGUUGGUUGGGGAGUGGCUUACCAAGGCUUUGACGGGUAGCCGGCCUGAGAGGGCGACCGGCCAAAAUGGGACUGAGGUACGGCCCAGACGCCCAAGGGAGGGAGGAGUGGGGAAUAUUGCAACAUGGGCGGAAGCCCGAUGCAGCAAAGCCGCGUGCGGGAUGACGGCCUUCGGGUUGUAAAACGCUUUCCGCAGGGGAGAAGCUUGUGGUGACGGUAACUGCAGAAGAAGCACCGGCUAACUACGUG
rnacentral:rRNA from 1 species